UACGUAGGGGGCUAGCGUUGUCCGGAAUCAUUGGGCGUAAAGAGCGUGUAGGCGGUUCGGUAAGUCCGCUGUGAAAGUCCAGGGCUCAACCCUGGAAUGCCAGUGGAAACUGCCCGAGCUAGAGUCCGGAAGAGGCGAGUGGAAUUCCUGGUGUAGCGGUGAAAUGCGCAGAUAUCAGGAGGAACACCAAUGGCGAAGGCAGCUCGCUGGGACGGU
rnacentral:rRNA from 1 species